UGUUUGCACUUAGCGGGAAGGGUAAGAACCUUCGACUAAGGUUCGACUCGAGCGCCAGCGAGAGAACGUUGCCACAGGCAACGGCCCGAAGGGCGAGGAGCGAUAGCGACGAGUUAUCCUUCCCCCAGCACCA
rnacentral:sRNA from 3 species